rnacentral:rRNA from 1 species
UACGUAGGGUGCAAGCGUUAAUCGGAAUUACUGGGCGUAAAGCGUGCGCAGGCGGCUUUGCAAGACAGAUGUGAAAUCCCCGGGCUUAACCUGGGAACUGCAUUUGUGACUGCAUGGCUAGAGUGCGGCAGAGGGGGAUGGAAUUCCGCGUGUAGCAGUGAAAUGCGUAGAGAUGUGGAGGAACACCGAUGGCGAAGGCAGCCCCCUGGGUCAAGAUUGACGCUCAUGCACGAAAGCGUGGGGAGCAAACAGG